rnacentral:lncRNA from 1 species
UAGUUAUAUUCAAGGGGCCUCAGAAAGAAGCUGAGCGGGUCUGGCCUGGCCAAGACAGUAACAUAGAACAGACAUAUCUGCAAGCCUUCACCACACAGGACACACAGAGUUCUAGGUUAUAUGAAGCAGCAAGGCAUGCUCUUAGUUAAGCUCUGAAGUCAUAGAACUGGAUCAUCAUUUAUUUCCUAACUGGCCCUUGCUGGAUAUUGGCAUCUCCUAUCUUCAAUGAAACCAAUCCCAGGAAUGGUACCAAGAUAACUUCAUUGUGUGCUAACUAUGGUGCAACUCCUCGUCAACAUCUCUGCAGAGAGAACACACGUCAGCAUCCACAGUAUUGCAGUGCCU